CCUUCCCUUAUCUUCCGCCCUCGCUCCAUCCAGGCCCGAUGCGGAUCUCAUGAACGAACGAACGAACCCUAGUCUAUUUCCGCCGUGAUGAAUCCGCCGUGGUAUCCUGUAAUCUUCUCUUGGGCAGAUUUACCUCUCUCCCCAAGAAGUGCUUGCAUGGUUAUGACGUGCUAAUCCUUCACGUUUUCUGUUCCUAAUUCCUCUUUUCAAUCCUGCAGAUCUCUCUCUGCCCCGGCGGGGGCGCAGCAAUUGCCGGAGGAUCGCUAUCGUUAGUCCAUAAAGGUAAAUAAGGAUGGAGUGUUACUUCGCUCCAUUCGGCAGCACGUUGGUCACCGAAGCUUUUGUGCUGCGGUAAAGGUCCUCGUCGGCAUGCUGGUUACAGAAUAUUUGUGAUGGAUAUAUCAAGAUGAAAACUGUUGGCGAUUAGCCCGGCGUCAAUUUGUUAACAGAGGGGUGUGUCGGCAAAAAGCUUAUCCUUCUUCUCACGCUCGUCGAUGGUAACCUCAGCUAAGGUGUGUCUCUAUCUCUCGGCAUAAGAUGAGAAAUCCCCCCCCCCCCCCCCGGUCUCUAUCGCUCGGCAUAAGAUGAGAAAUUCGGCCCCCCCCCCCCCCGGACUGGGGAUCAGGUGACAUGCCCACGGCAUGUCACACUGCGACAUGCGACCUCCCAUCCGCCCUCCAAUCUCCAUCCAACGUUCCACAGUGAUCCAAGGCAAAAAAAUAUAUUUCCAGACGAUAAACUACACAGGCUUGGACCAAAUCAUGGUGGUCUGCCCGCUCGGAACCAAUUUGUGGCGGAGAAAAUGGGAGAUUGGCACCGAGCGUUGCCGCCGCAGAGGACAGGCAGGGCAGCGCCGCCGCCAAGGAGGACCUGCAGGGUCGCGCCGCCGCGCCAGUGAAGUGCUACGCCUCGCCGCGACGGUAAUCAGCGCCGCCGAGCUCCUGCGGGAACCAGCUCCGCCAAGUCGCCGGGGAACCAUAAGAGCGUUGUCGUGUGCUGGGAAGCAGCGACAUGCCGCCGCGGUCCAUGGAGGAGCCACACCCUGACCGCCACGUCCGAUUUCCCAGAAUUGAAUGUUGUGCAAUGGCAAAAAUUGGAAAGAGGACACCCAAAGUUGGUAUGAAGUUCAGAGAUUCGGAAGAGGCUUGGGAGUUUUGGGUAAAUUAUGGGGGUCACAUCGGCUUUGAUGUGAGGAAAAGAAGACAAGGUAGCAUUUGAAGAAGCGUUUUCCAAUAUGAGUGCAUAAGCAAACUUGGUUAGAUAGUAUCUACAAGGUGGAAGAAAAAUGGGCUGAAUGUUAUAUGAGAGAUGUCUUUAGCUUGGGAGUGAGAAGUACACAAUUAAGUGAGAGCUUCAACAAUGCAUUGCAAAAUCAUUUGAAAUCAGAUUUUCAUAUUCUUCGAUUCUUGAUGCAUUUUGAGAGGACAGUGGCAGUAAAAAGAAGAGCUGAAUUAGAAUUGGAAUUCGAUGCAAUAAAGAAUAUACCAAUAAUUAAGAUGAAGACUCCUAUGUUGGUGGAAGCAAGCGAAGUAUACACUCUGAUUAUUUUUUAGGCUUUCCAAGGUGAGUAUGAAAGAUCAACGGCUGCAUGUUGUAGAGUAUUGGAUGGAAAUAACAGAUUUGUUGUUGCUAUUGCGAGGUUGCAUGGAGAUUUACAGUUUGAGGAGGAGCACAUAGUGAUAGGUGAUCCUUUGACCAAAACGGUUUCAUGUAGUUGUGGGAUGUUCAAUAGGACAGUAAUCUUGUGUGCAUAUGGUCUAAAAGUGCUUGAUUUGAUGAACAUAAAGACAUUGCCGGCACAUUAUGUCUUGAAGAGAUGGACUAGAGAAGCUCGCAAUGGAAGUAUACAAGAUAGACAAGGAAGGAAUGUGGUAGAAAAUCCAAAAAAUGAAAGCUGAACUUCGAUACAAGGAUUUGUCUCAUAAAUUUCACAAAAUGUCACAAAAAGCAGCCAACUCUCCACAAUGUUGUAUUCUAUUGGAUAAUGCACUUGAUUCCGUCGCUCCGCAUAUACAUGAUUUACUCAAUGCAUCCACUAGUGCCAUGAAUGAACUAUGUAAAGACAAAGAGAAUGUUGACCCAAAUGUGCAGCAAGUAGAUGAGUUGCUUAGAUCUACACGACUGAAGAAAAAAGAGGUUCAGUCAAAGAACUUAAGGAGAAAGGAAAAUUGGCUUGAUAGUUACUCAAGAGGAAGCACAGAGUAACUAAAGGACCAACAAAACAGGGAGAAAAGCCACAAAGGAAGAAGGAUGGUGUGCAACAAAAGAAAAAAGAUAAAAGAUGGUGUGCAGCCUUAAGUAGAAGUGGAGAAGUAUGACAACAACAAAGUAAAUUUGGUGCUUCAAGAGUGCAAUAGUAUUAUGAGUUUCACCCAGCUCUUGACGGCUGACCAUGAUAAUCUGUUCUAGCAUGGAAGCUCCUUAGAUAAUAUUUUGUACAUGAUGGUGAUGAUGAUGAUUAUCUGUUCUAGCAUGGAACUUGUUAGAUAGUAUUUUGGAUAUGGUUAACUAUAGUAGUAUGGGGUUAACUAUAUUAGUAUUUUGUAGCCUAAGUGUACAAGCAAGUGGUACUGAAUUUGAAUAUAUCGAGCUUUUGAAUUACAAGCAAGUGGUACUGAAUUUCAAUCAA